rnacentral:SRP_RNA from 1 species
UGAGGGGCCCCUGUGAUGGGAGCCUUGCGAACCUGGUCAGGGUGGAAACGCAGCAGCCAUUAGCCCGUGCUUUUAGGUGCGGGGGCCUCUCACUC